UACGUAGGGGGCAAGCGUUGUCCGGAAUCAUUGGGCGUAAAGCGCGCGUAGGCGGCCCGGUAAGUCCGUUGUGAAAGUCAAAGGCUCAACCUUUGAACGCCGAUGGAUACUGCCGGGCUAGAGUCCGGAAGAGGCGAGUGGAAUUCCUGGUGUAGCGGUGGAAUGCGCAGAUAUCAGGAGGAACACCAAUAGCGAAGGCAGCUCGCUGGGACGGUACUGACGCUGAGGCGCGAAAGCAUGGGGAGCGAACAGG
rnacentral:rRNA from 1 species